UACGUAGGGGGCAAGCGUUGUCCGGAAUCAUUGGGCGUAAAGCGCGUGUAGGCGGCUGAGUAAGUCUGCUCUGAAAGCCCGGGGCUCAACCCCGGGAGGCGGGUGGAUACUGCUCAGCUCGAGUCCGGAAGAGGAGUGUGGAAUUCUUGGUGUAGCGGUGAAAUGCGCAGAUAUCAGGAGGAACACCAAUGGCGAAGGCAGCACUCUGGGACGUGACUGACGCUGAGACGCGAAAGCGUGGGGAGCAAACAGG
rnacentral:rRNA from 1 species